GUCACGUGGUCGGCGGGCGGCCUCAAGUUACCCCCUUUAAUCUAUUCUUGUACAAUCAUUUCGGAGUACGUGGUGCAGAAAACCAGAAGAAAAGUAAUUACCUUCACUUCCGGACAUAAAAAUGGCAGCAACAACAUCACGUCCGGCCAUCCUCAAUGACAUCACUUCCGGCGCUUACAGAUCACAUCACUUCCGUCUCACCUCAAUGACGUUACUUCCGGUCCCUGUUCUUAACGUCACUUCCUGCCAACCAUUUCCUGUUCCCAUAAUCCUUUUUGUAUAAAUCCACCAUUUUCUCAAAGUAAAACUGCCAAAUGUUCUUGUAAA